UGUCUUUAUUGUUUAUGGUAAAUGUACGUAUAUGCGUACUAAAGUACUUAUCCCUUUCGAUCGUUUGUAAUCGGUAUAAAAAAAAUAAUAUCAUAACAGUGAUCGAAAUAGGUUGUGCAUCAUCUAUAAUUUAUUUAACUUAGGAAGUUAAAAGUAUUGACGCGUGAAAAUAAUGAAAAUAUUUACUGUAUUAUACAAAUGUUGAAAAUUUAUCGAUUAAGGUAGUCGCCAUUAACUUGAUCCUUUAUAAAUAUGAAUUUAUUUAAUGCAAAAUGGUAUGCAGUUUGUUACACGAGUAUAAUAUACUUACUGUAAAUAGCUACGAAAAAUUAAAUUGGUUAAUUAAUCAGCCGUGUGUGAAUAUGUGUUACCUAACCGGUUGACCAGCAAAUUGCGAUGGAAUUCAUAAAGAAAAAAGUCAUAAAGUACAGUUUGCUUACCAAACAUGUGCUCCAUCCCUCUUAAACAUUUUUUAUUGACUAAUGACAAUUGCCAAUGAGAUGAAGAGAGAAAAACGAGUGUUAACCUCUAUAUAUACCUAAUUAAUAUUAUAAUAUUGUUUUAUAAUACGUCGUUGGAAGUUGCGAAAAAAAACAAAUCACUGCGGUCAGUCUCGCCGGUAAAUACCAUCACCUAAUACCUAGCAGCGAGGGGGGCAAAGCUCGCCGUAUUAUUGAUUCGUUUUUUUUUUCGAGUUUUUUGGACUUCCAACUCGCGAAAUCGUCCGAAAAUCCAGUCGUCAACGCGGACGUCAAACGGCACCAUCGUCGUCAUCUGCAGGUCUGUAGAAAUACUUCCAAUUUCCAUUUAAUUCCGCGACUGCAGAGCACGCUACGGGAAUAAUCGCCACCGUCGUCAGUAUAUGAAUUUUGGAUGACGUCCGAUGAUUCGCACCAAGUAGGCGGACCUUUGCAACGGUGCAGUUGCGAUUAUCCGCAGCCGCCGGACGCCGACCUCAUAACGGUGGCGGUCGCCGUGGAUACCGCGGCAGAGGUGGAGGCGCAAAGGAAACGGCAGCAAAGGCAGCGGAGGCGUGACGCGGAAGGUGAGGCGACUGACGGGGCGUCCGACGAGUCCUUUUGGAAACGGUCCACGGCAUUUGUGACGGAUUGCGCGGCGCGCGUCAGACGUGGCGCCGCCCGUCUGUGUCCGGACUGUUGAAUACCAAGUCCGGAUUAAGGGGGGGGGGCAAAGGGGGCCGUGGCACCCGGGCCUUGGUGGUUGGAGCUCGUUUAGGGGCCACACAUUUUUGUCUGUUAAUUUUUUCGUUAUAGGCUAUACAUGCCAUAAAUCACCUAAAAAAAUCGAUGAUAUAUUUUCUGACGACAUUAUUUUCAAUUACAUAAUAAUAAUAUUAUAAUAUUAUACGCAUAUUAUAAUAUGUCAAAUAAACCUCUUAUAAUAAUUCACUAUUAAAGUCCAUCAAUUCGAUUGAUGUCGCCCAUCAAUCGAACGGGCAAAAGAUGUUUUUGUACACCAGUACACUGCAACAACACAACACGUUGCAACAAAUUUGUCGUCUUCUGUUAUCGUUGUUCAUUUUGAAUGGUUUGAUGAGUUAAUUUUUAUAUUUUUCAUUCUUUUUUAAUAUUUUAAAAAUGAAAGGGCACUUUGAAAGUGGUUCUCCAAAAAGAAAAACAAAAACAACAGAUUGAAGUAAAUAAGCGCCUGUAGACUGUAGAAGAUUAACGAGUACAGGGGCCUCAUUUAAAAUGUCGGCCCCGGGGCCUCAAAAUGUCUUAACCCGGGCUGGGACGAAUAAUAAUUUUUCUUGCAUGGCACGAUGUGGAGAAGAUGUUAAGGUGAUAUCACUUGUCAAAAUUUGACAGAACGGAUGCCAAAAAUAUGUAAGUACGGCGGACCAGGAGUUCCGAAAUCUCUCAACCGAGUACGCCACCAUUGGCCCGGGACAUAUUUUAUUUCCAGUUUUAAUGCGUAAAUAAUCCGCAAUUAAAUAUUUAAAAAUGUAUUCAAAUGUAAAUAUAAUGUUCACAGUAAGAAUAUAAAAUAGGUGAAAUACAAUAUUAUUUCAUUAUAUGUUGCACAAUGUUGUAUUUUAUCGGUAUAUUUUAUAGAGAUAAACCAAUCGAUAAGCUUGUAUUAUAAAUUAUAAUUUAUUAUAUUGAACAUGACGUAUUCGUAUUAUUAUAUUAUAUUACGUUAUUACACUUUAAAAAGGUUUGAACAUUAAUUGAAAAAUAAAUAUAAUUUUCAACUUUUAGUUUAUUUAUUUGCCAAUAAGUUAUUGAUAUAUCUGAACUCCUCCUAAAUGGCCGGACCGGUUUGAAUGCAUUUUUUUGUAUGCGUUUGGGUGACGUCCUGCAUGGUUUAGAUUCACAAUUAUUGGACCCGAUGGGUCCGACCCGGGGAGUUGCUCGAACAGGAAUUUUAAGUUUUACGGAGAAAAUAUUCGUUUAUAUACGGUUGAUAUUGGUUACAGGACAAUUAAUAUAAAUAUAUUUAGUAGAAAUUGGUAUUGUUUUUUUGUUUAUUCGCGGUAGUCCAUCGGGCAGAUCAAGUAUAUAAACAUGCAUACAAUUGCAUUUUCGCACAUUGCCCACCAAGGUGGCCGAGUUGCACUUAUGGCCGCUCAUCGGCGUGUCCGCAGUCAAAAUCAAAAUAAAACAUAUUAUUUAUAUAAAGUACUCAUCAAGCGGGAUACAUGGGCAAUCCACAGCAGCAGGUAGCCAUAAUAUACUGCUCGCAUUAUCACCACCGAGUCUCAUAUGGAGUUUGCAUUUCUAACGGGCAACAAAGUGCACGCGGGAUCGGCUAGUUUUACCAUACAAUUAUAACUAGCUAUUAAAAAUUCUCAUAAAAAUCUGAUAUCUUUUAGUAGCUUAAAAAAAGUAAAACUAUUUUGAAAAUUGUAUGGUGUAUAGAAAAUGCUAAAAUAAACAUUCGAUAAAAAUGGCAAUGUGACAAUUUUAUAUAUUUUUCAAGCAGUUAGUAUGGUUCCCCUAAAGAUGUUUGUGUUGCUGUAUUAUUUACUAUUAAUUAUAUA